UGCCAGACUCCUACGGGAGGCAGCAGUGGGGAAUAUUGCACAAUGGGGGAAACCCUGAUGCAGCGACGCCGCGUGAGUGAAGAAGUGUUUCGGUAUGUAAAGCUCUAUCAGCAGGGAAGAAAUAGCGACCUUUGGGUCGCCAGACGGUACCUGAUUAAGAAGCCCCGGCUAACUACGUGCCAGCAGCCGCGGUAAUACGUAGGGGGCAAGCGUUAUCCGGAUUUACUGGGUGUAAAGGGAGCGUAGACGGUUAUGUAAGUCUGGAGUGCAAGCCCGGGGCCCAACCCCGGGACUGCUUUGGAAACUGUGUAACUGGAGUACAGGAGGGGCAGGCGGAAUUCCUGGUGUAGCGGUGAAAUGCGUAGAUAUCAGGAGGAACACCGGCGGCGAAGGCGGCCUGCUGGACUGAAACUGACGUUGAGGCUCGAAAGCGUGGGGAGCAAACAGGAUUAGAUACCCCAGUA
rnacentral:rRNA from 1 species